UACGUAGGGUGCGAGCGUUAAUCGGAAUUACUGGGCGUAAAGCGUGCGCAGGCGGUGGCUCAAGCCAGGCGUGAAAUCCCCGGGCUUAACCUGGGAAUGGCGUUUGGGACUGGGUCGCUAGAGUGUGGCAGAGGGAGGUGGAAUUCCACGUGUAGCAGUGAAAUGCGUAGAGAUGCGGAGGAACACCGAUGGCGAAGGCAGCCCCCUGGGCUAACACUGACGCUCAGGCACGAAAGCGUGGGGAGCAAACAGG
rnacentral:rRNA from 1 species